GGGGUUUUUUGAUAUGCUGAAUCUAAAAAUGUACUUAGAUUUUUGAUUAUUGGCCCAGUUUUCAAGUUGGUCCAAAUCGGGUCCAAAUUAAAUUUUGUUUGAUUUCAUCAAAAAUUGAAUAAUUGGGGUUCUUUGAUAUGCCAAAUCUUACUGUGUAUGCAGAUUCUUAAUUUUUAGUCCCGUUUUCAAAUUGGUCUACAUUAAAGUCCAAAGGGUCCAAAAUUAAACUAAGUUUGAUUUUAACAAAAAUUGAAUUCUUGAGCUUUUUUGAUAUGCUGAAACUAAACAUGUACUUAGAUUUUUGAUUAUGGGCCCAGGUUUCAAGUUGGUUCAAAUCAGGAUCCAAAAUUAUUAUAUUAAGUAUUGUGCAAUAGCAAGAAAUUUUCAAUUGCACAGUAUUCAGCAAUAGCAAGAAAUCUUCAAUUGCACAGUAUUGUGCAAUAGCAAGAAAUUUUCAAUUGCACAGUAUUGCACAAUAGCAAGAAAUCUUAAUUGCACAGUAUUGUGCAAUAGCAAAUAUUUUCAAUUGCACAGUAUUGCGCAAUAGCAAGAAUUCAUUCUGUGUCAGAAACCUAUGCUGUGUCAACUAUUUAAUCACAAUCCAAAUUUAGAGCUGAAUCCAGCUUGAAUGUUGUGUCCAUACUUGCCCCAACCGUUCAGGGUUCAACCUCUGCGUCAUAUAAAGCUGCGCCCUACGGAGCAUCUGGUUUUAUAGUCUAUAGAACAAUAAUGUCAUCAGUGCCUUCCAUACUUAAUCAUAUCAAUCAUGUAAUUAUUGCAUUUGUUUAAUUAAUAUCCAUAUGCAUACUAAAUAUAAAGUGAAAUCCAACAUCCAUAUUAAUCCCAGGCUACAAAAUGAUUCAAAUAUUUCAGUUUAUACUAAUUAAAAACAGUAUUUUCAAAUAAUCAUACAUCUUUAAAUUGAAUAACAUAAGGUUUAUACACACGUUUUUUGUAACAAGCUGUUUAAGCUUUGCAAAACUAUCUUAGAUAUACUGAAGAUAUCUUGUAGUCUUUGAGUUUCUAACUCAUUAAAGAAUGUAGAAUGGAUAAAGAUUCAGGUAGAUUCUCUAAAAAGGAAAAGAUAAAAGGAUGAGACUCCUUGAAUCUUCUAGUCACUGGAAUUCCUGCUGUUUUUAUUUCGAUAAAUUAUAUACACAUUAUUUUAUUUAGGGUUGUUAAUUGAGUGUUACUUUAGGUUACUAAUUUAAAUCUUGAAGAUUUUUUUAUGAUUUUACAGUGCUCCUUUGGUUUAUUGCCUGCUCCAAACAGCCAAACUCCUAUAUCCCCACAAAAUUGCUCAGUCCUGUUUUUUCUUAUAUUAAAAUUCCAUUGUUUAAAAAAAAACAUAUUAACAUAUUGCCAAUAAUUGGAUGAUGUUAUAAACUAAUGGGACAUAAACAGUGAAGUUUUCCUCUCUUUCAAACCAAAUCACUUGGUGCUUUACAGUUGAUAACUUUUUACUGUUUUUAAAACAAUGAAUAUUAAUACUUGGGCAUCAAAAUGUCUACAUCAGAAAUAAAAAUCCAUUAUUAGUAAACAGAUUAAUGACAAUUGGUACGAUAACUGAUUAUGUUGCCGACAAAAUAACUUUUGGCAUAGUUCAGUCAAGUGCAUGCAUGGAUAAAACUUGUUUGCACAAAAGAAGUAUAUUUUUCUAAUUUUCGUUAGAAAAGUAUUUCAAGAUGUAUUGUCUGUUAGAAAAAAAGUGAGUGUAGUACAAAUCAUGCAGUUGUCUUAAUACAUGUACAAAUAUACAUUUAAUCCUUGCAGUUCAGUAGUGUUUGUUUUAUCAACUUACCACUCAUUCAUAGAUCUUUUUUUAUAUAAAAAUAAAUUCUAGAUAUAUACCACCACCCUUACAUAUUGGCAGUAUUCUAAGAAAUGUAAAUCAACACUAUAUGCUGUAAACAAUUUUCAGUGGCGGAUCCAGAAAUUUUCAUAAGUGGGGGCCCACUGACUGACCUAAGAGGGGGCCCACUCCAGUCACGCUUCAGUGAUUCCCUAUAUAAGCAACCAAAUUUUUUCCCAAAAAGGGGGGGCCCGGGCCCCCUGGGCCCCCCCUCUAAAUCCGCCUUUGAUUUUGGUUUGGAAAUAAUGCUAAACUUUAUAAAAUCAAGUACAAGACCAAAGAUUGUAUGCCUUUAUUAUUUAUGCAUACUUAUUAUGUGCUGAAUAAUUUUUUUUGAAUAAUUAUUAAUAUGUGUCUUUUUCUGUUUCAUUUAUUUGAAUUUCUACUGAUACAUAUCCAAAACACUAUGAAAGCCCAAUAAUUGUUUUAUUUGGUUUUUUUUCAUAAAUAUUAAUUUGUUACUGUUUUUUACCAAAGCAAGUCAGGAGCAUGUUGUUGGCGUUGUCAGUUUGUUUUAGAUUUAUGAGUUUGACUGUCCCUUUGGUAUCUUUCAUCCCUCUUUUAUUCAAUGAUCAUGUUUGUUGGUUUCUGUAUAUAUGUUAUUUCUUUAUGUUUUUAGCAUAAAUCAGGUUGUUGUUUUUCUUUUGAAUUAUUCAAACAAUUCACAGAUAUAACUUUAAUACAACAUUAGAAUUGACAACAGAUAGCACCUUUUCACUUAAAAUUUUUGACAUUCCAGAGUUAAUGUAUUUUGAUCCUUAGAUUCGAUUCAAGUUUUCAAAAAUUGUGCUGCACUAGCUCUAGUGGAACUGACUCCAACAAAACUUUACAUUGUUGUUGGUAUUAAUGAGGAAACUCACAUUGACUUUAGUAUUGUUAGGGUUGAUUUCCUCCAAAUUUUACAUUAUUUUGAUUGAUUUAUUGGAAGUUGUACAAAAAUGUUAGAAAAAGUAAACAUGAUUAAAUGAUUUUCAAUUAUCCCAUUUUAUUCUUGCAACAAAUUUCAAUAUGCACAAUAAGUGCCCCCUAACCCCCUCUUACAUUCUGUAUACGCCUGUCCCAAGUCUUGAGCCUGUAAUUCAGUGGUUGUUGUUUAUUGCUGUAUGUCCUAUUUGUUGUUUGUUUAUUGUUUUGUACAUAAGACAUAAUUACUACAAAUAGUAAUAUAAAGGCUGCUGCUAACCAAAACCAAAAUCUUAGUGGCUAUGAAGCUAUAGUUAGACUUUCUGAUUCAAAUCAAUUCAUGUUGUUUAAUGCAAGAUUUCAAAAACAUGCACUUUUUGUCAUUUUGAGUAACACAACAAUGUACAGCACUGAAUAAUAUUUUGAUUUAAUUGGUAUUGUAAACUUUUGCAAAGGUUAAUAAAGGUACCAGGAUUAAUAAAAUCUUUAAAGGAAGUAUUUUGACUAAGGUUCGUAAAAUAUUUUGAUAUCAGUUCCUGCACAAGUCUGAUUACAUUUGGCAUAUAUACCGUAUACAGUUCUUUUGCCUCAUGGUGAGAAUUCUUAGAUCUGUGCUUUAUGUCUUUUGUGUCUCUAUAAGUUAUUGUUGUGCUUUUUGUUGAUCGGAUGAGUUUAGUCCUUUUGAACUUAUUUUUAUAAUUUGUUCUUAUGUUGUCCUGUUACACCACUGUCCCAGGUUAAGGAUAGACUUGGCAACCUGCAACUGUGGUUAACAAUGUCGAGCAUUGUUGUUUGUUGCAGUAUAUUAUAUUUGUUUUUUGUUUGUUUAUUGUAUAUUGAGUAGUUUCCCUUUUAAAUAGUUUUAAUUUGUCAUCUCAGGCCUUUAAUGGCUUGCUGUGCAGACUGGCCAUUUGUUAAAGGCUUUACGGUUAAGUAUUAUUGCUGAACUUCCACAUCAUUUGGUCGUUGGUGCAGUGUUGACUCAUUGGCAAUAAUACCUCAUCUUAUUAUUACAUGUAGUAAAAUUUGAUGGUUUUGAUUUUUAUCAAUUUUCAGAUCAAUUAAAACUAUAGCAGAAUAUAUUUACAUAUUUAACCCAUUCUUUUAGUAAACAGACAAUAUUAAGUUUUGACUAAUACUAGCAUGCCUUUUGUAAAGUGUGAAUCUGUGGGCAAUAUCAUCCAUUUGGAAUUGCAUGUCUUAUGAUGAAUUGAAUGAAGAAGCUUUUCCUAUGAAUGCACAUAUCUGUUUUUAUAUGGAGUUCAUGGAAUUUGACUGUUUGUACUUCUAUGCCUGUAUAUUUGUACCUUUUCUUAUUUAUUUGAACUAAUCCCCAUUUAAAUGAUUACGAAAAGUAUGAAUUGCUUGCAACAAAACAAAAACCAAAGACAUGAGAAUCAAUACAUUGUAAUAACUCUUUUUAUAUGACCGCAAAAAUUGAAAAUUUUUUGUUCGUAUAUUGGUAUCACGUUGGCGUCGUCUGUGUCGUCGUCAUCGUUGUCCGAAUACUUUUAGUUUUCGCACUCUAACUUUAGUAAAAGUGAAUAGAAAUCUAUGAAAUUUUAACACAAGGUGUAUGACCACAAAAGGAAGGUUGGGAUUGAUUUUGGGAGUUGAGGUUGGAACAGUUUAGGAAUUAUGGCCAAAAAGGGGCCCAAUAAGCAUUUUUUCUGGUUUUCGCCCGUAACUUUAGUAUAAGUAAUAGAAAUCUAUGAAAUUUAAACACAAGGUUUAUGACCAUAAAAGGAAGGUUGGGAUUGAUUUGGGAGUUUUGGUCCCAGUUUAGGAAAAAAGGGGCCCAAAGGGUCCAAAAUUAAACUUUGUUUGAUUUCAUCAAAAAUUGAAUAAUUUGGGUUCUUUAAUAUGCCAAAUUUAAAAAUGUACUUAAUUUUUUUAUUUUUGGCCCAGUUUUCAAGUUGGUCCAAAUCGGGGUCCAAAAUUAAACUUUGUUUGAUUUCAUCAAAAAUUGAAUAAAUGGGGUUCUUUGAUAUGCCAAAUCUAACUGUGUAUGUAGAUUUUUAAUUUUGGUCCCGUUUUCAAAUUGGUCUACAUUAAGGUCCAAAGGGUCCAAAAUUUAACUCAGUUCGAUUUUAACAAAAAUUGAAUCUUUGGGGUUCAUUGAUAUGCUGAAUCUAAAUUUGAACUUAGAUUUUUGAUUAUUGGCCCAGUUUUCAAGUUGGUCCAAAUCAGGGUCCAAAAUUAAACUUUGUUUGAUUUCAUCAAAAAUUGAAUAAAUGGGGUUCUUUGAUAUGCCAAAUCUAACUGAGUAUGUAGAUUCUUAAAUUUUUGGUCCCGUUUUCAAAUUGGUCUACAUUAAAGUCCAAAGGGUCCAAAAUUAAACUAAGUUUGAUUUUAACAAAAAUUGAAUUCUUGGGCUUCUUUGAUAUGCUGAAUUUAAACAUGUACUUAGAUUUUUGAUUAUGGGCCCAGUUUUCAAUUUGGUCCAAAUCAGGAUCCAAAAUUAUUAUAUAUUAAGUAUUGUGCAAUAGCAAGAAAUUUUCAAUUGCACAGUAUUCAGCAAUAGCAAGAAAUCUUCAAUUGCGCAGUAUUGCGCAAUAGCAAGAAAUCUUCAAUUGCACAGUAUUGUGCAACAGCAAGUAUUUUCAAUUGCAGAGUAUUGCGCAAUAGCAAGAAAUAUCUAAUUGCACAAUAUUGCACAAUAACAAGAAAUUUUCAAUUGGAGUUAUCUUUCUUUGUCCAGAAUAGUAGUUGAAUCAACUUAAAUCAUUGUUUUAUACAAUAUUACAAUGAUUAUAUCACUUUUACUACCAACUGAUAAAUUAAAACAAUCUUUACCAUUCAGUGAUAACAAGCACUUUUUUUACAUUUUAAUAUUUUAUGAUGUAUUUAAAUGAGUAGUUAUUGUUUCAAACUCCAUUAGAAAUUUGAAUUGAGAUCAGUUUUGGAAUAAGGGAAAGGGGGAUGUGAAAAAAAAAAUUAGGGGGGGGUUCAAUUUUUUCUCAUUCAGAUUUCAUAAAUAAAAAGAAAAUUUCUUUAAACAUUUUUUUGAGAGGAUUAAUAUUCAACAGCAUAGUGAAUUGCUCAAAGGCAAAACAAAAAUUUUAAGUUCAUUAGACCAAAUUCAUUCUAUGUCAGAAACCUAUGCUGUGUCAACUAUUUAAUCACAAUCCAAAUUUAAAGCUGAAUCAAGCUUGAAUGUUGUGUCCAUACUUGCCCCAACCGUUCAGGGUUCAACCUCUGUGGUCGUAUAAAGCUGCACCCUGCGGAGCAUCUGGUUACUUUGGAAAUGAUAGAAGACAUACUUUGUAGAACAUAAUUUUAUUGAUGGUGAUUUGAUUAUAACAACUUGAAUUUAUGUAUGUAAACCUACGCCAGAGUGAAUCUGUGAUACAUUUAUAUAUUAAAUUGUUAUGUUUGUUUCAUUGAUGAAUUUACAGAAAAUAAAAAAUUAUAUAUUUAACCUUAGUUUUUAAAAAAAAAAAAAUUUUUAACAAAGGGAUUCUUUUAGUUUCCACAAGAGACCAAGUGACAAGAAAUUAUCAACUAUAGGUCACAUAUGGCCUUCAAUAAUGAACAAAUCCCAUACAUAUCAGCUAUAAAAGGUCUAGAAAUGACAAAUGUAAAACAAUUGAAAUGAGAUAACUAACAAUCAAAUAUAUGUAUAAAAAUGAACGAAAAACAAGAAUGUGUCCAUAGUACACGGAUGCCCCACUUCCACUAUCAUUUUCUAUGUUCAGUGGACCAUGAAAUUGGGGUCAAAACUAUAAUUUGGCAUUAAAAUUAGAAAGAUCAUAUCAUGGGGAACAUGUGUAUUAAGUUUCAAGUUGAUUGGACUUCAGCUUCAUCAAAAACUACCUCGACCAAAAGCUUUAACCGGACGGACGGACGAACGGAGGCACAGACCAGAAAACAUAAUGCCCCUCUACUAUCGUAGGUGGGGCAUAACAAAUGCUACACAGCAACAAACAUCAACCACUGAAUAUCAGGCUUCUGACUGUGGGCAGGCACAUACAUAAUGUGGCAGUGUUAAACUAGUUUGUCGCCAUCCCCCCUCUCAAUGGGACAGUGCUGUAUUAUAUGUCUCUGGUACAUCACAAUAAUUCAUUUUACAAAACAAUAAACAUAAAAAGAAUAUGAAAAACAGCCAAAAAAACGACACUCAAAUACUAGCUCCUAAUUUGGGACAGGUACAUAUAGAAUGUGAUUAGAUUAAAGUCGUUUAAUUGACUAAUAUAUUUGGUAUUGUAAUGUUGAUUCCUCCUCAAGAUGGUGUGGUAUAAUUAACACUGCAUUUUGUUUUUUGAACUAUGUGCUGCAAUUGGUCAUCUCAUGUAGAAGUGGUUGGUCUUUGCCCAGUCUUGAAUCAUUGUAUGCCCAGGAUGUCCAUGCCUAUAUUAUUCUGUGUACACCUACAGUGUAAAUCUUAUAAAAGUUCAUCGGAAGAUACAAGAUCUUGUUGAUUAAUAAUCCGUAUAAUUCACGAUGGUCUUGAAUUAUAAACUCGAGGUACUAACGCUGUUAAUCAUCUUAAUUACGUGUUAUAGUAUUUGUAUUUUAAAAUUGUUUUAUAUACUCUUUUUUUAUUUUUGGUUAUAUCCAUUUGACGUGGCUCGGUACUCAUCCAUCCCGUAAUUGUGUUAUUGAGAUAUGGUGAAUUUUUGUAUUCUUGUCUUUCGGCAUGGAUUUUUCUAGCAUUCCACAGGGUCCGGUAUUCGGACCCAUUCCCAACGGCAAAAACCCUUCAUUUUUCCCAUUUUGGCCAGCAAAAUUCCCAAAUGAUCACAAAAUUCAUUUUAAUCUUUAUUAUUCAUGACAGAGAUGUUUAUUUUAUUCAACCGCUAGCUUUAUGUAAAAAAAUCGCCAACAAGUAAUGUGUAAAUCCAAGUUGAAACAUAUUGAAUGAAAACAACAUUGACAAACAAUGGCUGCCAUUAAUAAAUAAACAGGAAGUGUGGGAAUAAACUAAAACCAGUUCAAAUCCGGAAACGGACAAGUAUAUAAUUCCGGGUUUGUCAAUCAAAUACAGUAAAUAAAAAAUGAAAAGAACCAAACAUGUGACAGCUAUCAUAGCAACACUAAAAUUGAAAACUAAAAGAUAUAUAAAAAAAGAAAAUAGAAACAGGAUAUAUUUUAUACAGAACUUAAAAUAUUUUAUUUCACAAAUUUUCAUGUCAAAAUCAAAAAAAUGUAACAAUCCUUUAAGAAGCUGGAACUCAUUAUUUUGAUACUCAAAUAAACUGAAAUGCCAUGUUUUUAUAUUUUAAAAACAAAGAAGGUGUAGUCCUUACUUUAUUUUCACCAACAAAAAAUAAUUUUAUGAACUAAUCCCACUAAAACUAACAUCCGGUAUAUUGGUUGUUUUUCCCAAUUUCAUUGAAAACCGCGUUAAAAAAUUCCCUAAACUGGCCAGGGUCCUUUUCCCCAAAAUACCCAGAUAAACCCCUGUUCGGUUUUACUUAAUAUGUGCUUUGUCUAUAUCAAGGGGGAGAAUCUACGUCAUCACGCAGGGUGUCGGCGAUUGAAAUAGGACAACCAUCUUGUCGUUUCAAGGUAAGAAUUUUACUUAUUAUGCCAGUUAUAUGAGGGUUAUGAUUAUACAAAAUAGUCCACCAAAGACUAUAUAAAGUAGGAAAAUAAAUGAGCCAUCGCUCAAUAUUAUUGGUUAUCUCAAUUUUGCAAACACUUCGAUACAAGUUUUAGGAAUUAGG
rnacentral:lncRNA from 1 species